rnacentral:rRNA from 1 species
AACGCGAAGAACCUUACCUGGGCUUGAAAGGUCGUCUAAACAGGUGAAAGCCUGCUACCCGCAAGGGGGCGAUACAGGUGCUGCAUGGCUGUCGUCAGCUCGUUGCCGUGAGGUGUUUGGUUAAGUCCCGCAACGAGCGCAACCCUUGUCCUGUGUUGCCAUCAUUUAGUUGGGAACUCGCAGGAGACCGCCAGCGAUAAGCUGGAGGAAGGUGGGGAUGACGUCAAGUCCUCAUGGCCUUUAUGUCCAGGGCUACACACGUGCUACAAUGGACGGUACAAUACGUCGCUAACCCGCGAGGGGGAGCCAAUCGCUAAAAACCGUUCUCAGUUCGGAUUGCAGGCUGCAACUCGCCUGCAUGAAGCUGGAAUCGCUAGUAAUGGCAGAUCAGCACGCUGCCGUGAAUACGUUCCCGGGCCUUGUACACACCGCGCAUA